GUGGAGCUUCAAGAUCUGUAUUUUCAGCACGAGUUUCAGAUUCCACAUUAGCACAUUGGGCCUCCUUAGUCGAGAAUGCUUUGGAUACAAUUGGGCUACCAUAUUUCUUACUUUGGGCUUUAUCAUUAGACCUGUUUUCUUUUGGGCUCAAAAUGCAGAAAUCGGGCAACAAAUGACCAAAUAAUAAAGCCAUGUUAAAGAUGUGAUAUAUGCCAAACACUCAGUAUUACGAUUCAAUAAUAUUUAUCUUCAAUUGUAAGUGAGAGGUUUUAAUAUAAAUAUAUCAAUUUAUUAAAAAAAAAUGUGAUGCACCAUUCUGGUUAGUUUUUUUUAUUUAUUUUUUAACGAAAGAUAUUAUUUAAACUAGGUGUGUGCUAAGUCUCACAAUAGGUGAACAGUAAUAAUGUAGUUCAAAUUCGCAUUUGGCGAGAAUCAAACCUAAGACUUCUCACUUACAAGUGAAGAGAAAUGUCACUAGAUCUUAAUACUAAGUGGAACCAUUCUGGUUAGUUAAACCUAACAAUUACUCCCCUAAGAGAACUUUUAACAAUUGAGGACUCGUUCGGAGAUUUUUCUGUUGAACAAAAUUCUGCUCAUGAGUUCACUAAAAGUGUUUUUUAAGAAGUAUAUUGAAACCCUUAUUGGGCGUAGUCAAAUUACGAUUUGGAAGGAUUUUAAGAGAUUUAAGAAUCAUGGUGCGGACAACUAGGAUUAUAAAGGAAAUUUUUAAAAAACUUUGAAAUCAUGGUGCAGUCAAUGCAUCGAAAUUCAAGUGUAGUCGACUAGGAUUCUAAAAGACUUUUAAAGAGUUCAUACAAAUCUAUAGAUAUUCAAAAAGUCAUAUAUUUAGAUGGACUUCAUUGAAUAAGAUGCAUAAAAAAAGACUAUAAAGAAUUCCACCUCCACCCGUAGGAUUUCAAGAUUUCCCUUCAUUUAAUCCCUCUAUUUUCUGAAUCACACUGAAGUCUUCUUCACUGAGGAUAUCAAUCAUUCUCUGCUGCCAACGUUCUUGGUUGGCCCUCCCUCUCAAGAGAUGAUGCAUCAGUAGAAGUCUUGUGACAUCACCCUCAUUCCUUUGCUCCUCAUUUCUUAUAUACCAAUCGUCAUGCUGCUUCAAAAGAGCUUUGUAAGGUCCACGUUAAAUUUCAAGUGCUUCCUAAGUAAACCUUUGUAUUUGCUUUCACUUAUGGAAUUCAAUUAUCAACCGCCACUUUAUACAGUUUAUAAAAUAUGGUCUAAACAGGCGGUCUUCCAAGAAUUUUUCCUUUGUUUUUAUGACAAUGUUAAGUCAAAUGUCAAUGGGUGGAAGCUGAAACCUCAUUCCCCAACAGGUAUGGUAUCAUUGUCAAAUACCAACCAAGCCGAUGACUUGACGCCAAGUGUGUGGAAACCAAACCAAGUCUUCUCAAUCCAUUGUGAUUGACUUAAUAAAUCUUUUUACAUGAGAAGUGCUUUCCGCAAAUCCCAUUUUUAAUCAUGUACGCUUGUUUAUUUCCGGCAUUUGAAUUGAAAACAAAUGCGCUUGGACGGAAAUCACUUCCUCUUCAUAUAAGUAAUGAAGCAUCCCCUCCCCUGCUUAAUUUGUAGCUAGUGAAGGUUGUUGAUAUGGAAAGCAACCAUAUCAUGGUGAAGCAAAAGUUAGGGUUCUUUGACAUACUGAAACAACCUCUUAACUUAACCUACAAGAAUACCCACUUUAUUCUGCUCAUCUUUCUCUCCUCUCUCCCUCUCUUCUGCUUCUUACUCUACUAUGAACUAUUGCUCCAGAAAACCCUGGUCCGAAUCUCGGAAUUCGUACGCCAUCAACACCCCGAUUCCUUCGGGUACCAUUGGCAAACGCUGCUCCAUACAGCCACAAGAACGAUCGUUAUAUUUUCCAACAACUUGAUCCAACUGGGAAUUCUCUACCUUGUGCCUUUUCAUCUCCUAGAGCUUUGCUCCGUUUAUGUCACCGUUGAUUCGGCAUUAAAGAGCCAUCGUCCAAAGCGAAAACCGGCGAUCAGAGCCGGAGCCGGUUUGAGAGGCACCGUCGUCACGUCCAUCUGGGUUCUUUUCUUCUCAACUUGUACUCUACUUGGAUCAACAUGGUUAGCAUCAAUCUACUACGUAAUACUGAGGAACUUAGGGGGUAAAUAUAAUAUGUAUUUUGGAGUGUUUUAUAGGGCAGCUUGUAUGGCAUUGCUAGCAAAAUAUUUGGAAUGGAGCUCUAUAUGGAACAUGGCAAUUGUGAUUUCAGUACUGGAGGAUAAACAUGGAGCCAAUGCAUUGAUGCUCUCAGCUUCUCUAAUCAGAGGUAGCGAGCGGCGACGGUGUCAAGGACUUGUUAUUUCACUCGUCUGCUCUGUUUUCGGACUCGUUUUAAGAGGGUCGUGCUGGUUUUUCGCAUGCUGUGGAAGGAGGAACGGAGUUGUUGCUCAUGCGGGAGUUUUCUGCAUCUUGAAUGUGAUGAAGUGGGUUGUCUUCGUGGUUUACUUCAACAGCUGCAAAAGGCAGAGCUUGUGGAGGAAAGGAGGCGGUAAAGCCUUCGGAGACAAUGGUUGGAAUGCCAAAACGGCGUAUGAGGUUUGUGUUCCGCCAGACGACGGACUUGAUGUCCGGACCUGUUGAAAAGUCACGCAUUUGCAGGAAAAUAUGAUCUAAUUUAAGAUUAAAUGGAGGCAAAAACAAGAUUUCAUAUAUAUAACCAUCUCUGUAACUAGUCAUUAGGAAAGACGAUCUUCGAAAACACUGUUGAUAUCACUACUGCAGCUCCAAUAAUCCCAAUUGGGAACAGCAAUUCAUAUAUCAAAUUAUUCCAUGGUCCAUUGCUCUGGAUUAAACUAGUUCAACUACGCUUAAGCAGGUGCUCGGCAACAACAAAUCUGCUUGUUGGAUGCUACUGAAAGUGUUCCUCACUUUGCUUUUGCGUCAAUCACCUUCUUCGCAAAAGAAGGUUAGUACCUUUCUAUCAUAAUUCUUUCACUUUAUUUUUUAUUAGUUGAAUGCUUUGAACACAAUUCUGCACUAGUGUAUUUCUUUCUAGUUACAUAGUUUAUCGGUAUGCAUGUUUUUAAUGGCUUCGUCACCCUCGGGUGUCGGCCAGCACGUGUCUGCCCUGAUAUUUGGGGAUAUCGGGUUUGGAGCGUGUCAGAAUAUACAUAUGAGGAUAGUUAAUUUCAUCUCUCUUGUUAUGUGAUUAAGUAGCGUAUAAGGGUUACAAAAACAAAAAAAUAUACAACCGGAGAUAGCUAAGGACCUGUUUGGUAUCCUAUUACAAAAAUUUCGUCAUUUCUGAAAGCACUUUUUAAGAACAUCUAUUGAAACAACUUCAAAAACUUGUUUGGUAUGAAAUUUAAAAUGAUUUCAAAUCUUAAACCUUAAACUGUAAAAAAGAUCCAAAGAUAAGGAGUCGGAGGAGAGGGAGAAAGAGGAGACAGGAGAGAAAGAAAAAAAGAAGAAGAGAGGAUCAGAGGAGAGAAAUAGGAGAUAGAGAGGAGGAAAGAGAAUGAAGAGGGAAGAUCAAAGGAGGGAGAGACAAAGUGGAGAGAGAAAGAAGAAAAAAAGAGAUAUAGAUAUCCAUAGUGAGAAGGAAGGAGAAAAAAAAAAGAGUGAGCUUUAAGUUUAAAAACUCUAAAAAUUUGCUUUUGGUGUUAAAAAAAAAACUAUUUUCUUAAGUUAGACUUGAGUUCAGUUUUUAAAAAUAUUCAUAACUAACAAGUUUUUAAAGCCUAAAACUUGAAAGAUGUUUUUCAAUUUAAAAAACUGAAUUCAAAUAGAGUACCAAACAUAAUUUAAAAAUCUCAUUCUGAUUUGGGACCAUUUACUUUGGAUCAAAGAUACAUGAAAGGAAAAUGAAUGGUAGCCAGGUUGAGUGUGUCAACAAACCAUAUUGAAUUUAGGGGGGCACCCUUGUCACAUUCAUCUUGGUCAUUUUCUUAUCAACAAUUUUUGUAUAAUACUUGGACUAAUAUCUAAGUAUCAAUCUUCUACUUGGGAAUAAUGUGUUGUGAUACUGUUGAUCCUAAAAACUAUCAAGCCUACAUGGCAUGCAUGCCGAGUAAUUAAUAAGCUAACUACGUCAUUCAGUUGUGUGCUGGGCGUGCCAACUUAUUGACCAAGCUUGGCCGGGGAGUAAAAUGUGUUGAUGUUGCAUUGAGCGCGCUGCUGACUUCUUGAUCUCGCAAUUGCGACUAAGGAAGGAACACGUCUAGGCCUUCGGGUUCUAGAGCCUGGAGACAAGGCUACUAGAUUUGUGAAGUUCAAUAUCAAAUUCGAUUUUCAAUGUGCCGAAUGUAGUAACCUAGUAACACCUCACUUCACCGAGAAGGUUGAUGAGAUGACCUCUACCACAAGAACUCAAAAAUUCUUGUACCGAGACUUGGAUAGGUAAUCAAUCGGCCGAGAAACAAUGUUGUUUAUCCAAACUAAAGAUGCUCCUUAAUUGGCUGACUCUACGGUUCCAUUGUUGUUUAUCCAAACUGAAGAUGUCGCCAGUUGCCUUUACAGUGUUGUUUAUCCAAACUGAAGAUGUGUCGGCGGGAAGAAGAAAAUAAAAAUCUCAAGAUUGUUGAGAGGUUUCGCGUAGAGCGAGAGUUUGUGCAUGGCAGUUUGUGUGUUGAAUUGGAAGGGCUUUCCCGUUGCCACUGCCUUUGUAUUUAUAGGUUUCAUUUUUUGCCUAGCACGGCCUAGUAACUUUGUAAAGUUCAAUCGGGAUUUUACCACCUUCUCCACAUAAUAUGCGACAUCAAAAUCCCAAAUCCCUGAUGUAGACCACAUGCAUUUGUGAUAAUGGCCCCAAGAAACAAUUCUGAUAUUUGAUGGUAUCGUACCAUGCAUAGGACAAUACUUGGGUACUCACUGGCAAGUACCCAAUUUACUGACUUCAUAAUGUGGGCCAAUGAGGAUAGGCCAACCUGUCUUAUCUAAAACCAUCCCAAACAUUGGUUAUCUUUGUAACCAAACAUCAAUCAUCUCCCUCACCCUCAAGCUUUGUUUUCUCCGUGCACCCCAACAACAACCCCAUCAAAAAGGACUGGAGUGGGAUCAAUGUCAAUGAGGACUAGGUGGGACAUCGUCAAAGAGACGGUUGAUGUUGGACUCACCGACAAAUAGAAUGGUUGGGGUAGUUGAGGUCGUCGAAUGAGAUAUGGGUGGAGUUAGGGUUGCUGGUAGGGUUGGGUUCGGUUCAAAUCGGUUCCGUUUUUGCCGAAACCAAACCAAAAUUUCGGUUCAGUUCUUUUUUUUCGGUUUUUUUUUUUUCAAAAAUUGAAAUUUAAAAUUUUAACAUCUCCAACACAAUCAUAACAUAAGUUAAACUUGACAAAUGCAUAAAGAUGUAGCUACUCUCCUUAACAUCACCAAUUUUACCUCUAGAAACUUCAAAGUGUGUAGCAACUUAAACAUUUGACUGUUAAAUGUGCUUCAACCAUUAAAACAAUGAAUAUUGUGGUGAACUGAGGAAUCUAGUUGGUGUCCUAGGUUUUAUGGAGUUCACGCUUGCGCUGUGAGGAUCCAAAUUGUUGUAAAAUCUUGUGUGUUCCACUGGAUAUUCCUUUGGAAGUAAAAUAAGAUCACACAGAACAGUGAAUAAAUUUAAAGGAAAGUUUAAAGCAACUGGUCCAUGAGAAUAAAAUUGCUUGAAUAUUGGCAAAAUCACUUGAAUAAACUAGGGUGAAAGAAAAGAAGGGGGAAAAAAUAAUAGGUUAGGGUUUAGAGUUUCUAAAGGUUUUUUUUUUAAUAUUUUUGGCUUAAAGUUUGGCAACACAUUGGGCUUACAACUUGGGUUUAGAAAAUAAUACCCAAAACAUGUAAUUAAAUAAAUAAUAAUAAUUUAAUUAAUUUGGUUUGGUUCAGUUCGGUUUCCAGACCACCGAAACUAAACUGAACCAAAAGAAUUUGGUUCAGUUCGGUUUUUUCAAUUUGGUUCGGUUCUUUCGAUUUCGGUUUGGUUUGGUUUUUUAUUUUUUUCGGUUUUCGAUUUUUUGAACCCACCCCUAGUUGUUGGGGAAGUAAGGGAUUUGAGCGAGCUCGCCGAUGAAGAAAAGGUUUGGGGGUGGGCUCGCUUGAGAAGAAAGGGAUUGGGGUGGGCUCAUCAGAGAACUAAGGGAUUUAAAGUUGGUCUCGCCAGAGAAGAUAGGUGUUGGUCUCACCGAGGAGCAGAGAGGCGAAAUUGCCGGAGAAGAGAGUGGGUUGUCUGCACGGCAAGAAGGGAGGAAUGAGAUGGUGCUUGUUUGGUUACGAAAAUAGGAAGAGUUUGGGGUGAAAUUCAUUUGACAUGUGUUAAAUUUGUAUUGGGCCAUGUAGGAUAGUCAGUAAGUUGAGUAUUCUCCAGUGAGUACCCAAUUAUUGUCCCCAUGCAUAUCCUUCCCUCAUUGCUACGUGCUUUAUUGGAGGACUUAUCCAUCUGUUUGUGUAAAACUUUAUUAGCCUAUUGUCCUCCUUCCUUAUCUUUUGCAUAGCACCAAUCUAAUCCAAAGAUUGGUUUUAAUAUUUAAAUGCCUAAAUCGCAGUUUAUGUGGAUCUCUAUAGUCCAAAUUCCCAUGCAACAAUCACAUUCCAAUUUGCAUCAUUAUCUUGACUUCAUCAUCAUCCCAAAACCAUACAUCAUGCACCAUGCUGCUCCAAUCUAAUAACAAGAACCCCAAGUCCAUUUGAAUUGUACUGCUUGCUUGGAAAUAUAAUUUGCAUCUUAUCUAUCCUAUUUAAGAAUAUGCCAAGACAAUUCAUAUUAAAAGAUAAUUAUUAUGAUAAAAACCAUAAUAUUAUCAUUUAAUAACAAAAUUAUCUUGAUUUUUCCAUCCGACGAUUGAAAGUUAUGCUCACUCAAUAAUCUUGAUUGCACAUGCCGAUGAUGUAAUUUUGGGUCCAAACAGAUACCCAUGGGUCUAAAUUUCAAGAAAAACUUGUGCAUGAUUUUGUUUGUCAAUAAACCUUUUUGAAUGGCACUACAAUCUUUGCCACACAAUAAAUCUUAAAUAUAAUCUUUUAUUUAUUAUCUUUAUAUUUAAACUCAUAACUUUCUCUUCAAGGAAAAUAUAAAAGGUGAAAACGGCAUUAGAGGAUAUUGAUUGCAGAUAUAGAAAGCGAAAACAACAGUAAAGGAUACAAUUAGUUGCUGUGUCACUAGAGUGCAUUUAAUUUUGAAUUUUGGUGAACUUGUGUCACAUUCAUCUUGGUCUUUUCUUAUCAACUUGUCUAGACCUUGGAUUAUGAUUUUUUAGUUUUUUUUUUUUUUUUUUUUUUUUUUUUUUUGAGAAACAGACAAAUAGAUACUUUUAAUAAAAAUAAAUAAAAUUGGGAGACACUAAAAAUCAUAAGAGAAUGCCUUAUGAUCUUCUGUUAUCGCACAUUUGAAUGAGAGGAUGUAAUAAGAAGUGACAACUUAAGUGAGGCAGUUUAUAUUUCUGUAAUGAUCAUCUAGUGCAUUUAAGAUCCUGUUGCCUAAUGUUUUGCAGUUCAUUCUAAAAAUUGAAUACAUAAUUUUUUUUAUUUUUAAACUCUCUCUCAGAGAAGUUUAGAAUUAACGACUAUUUACAUAGAAUAAACUUGGAAAUUGGAGGUUCCAAAUUCCAACUUUUUUUUUUUCAAGCGAAAAUUCUAAAUUUAUAUGUUUAUGAACAUGUCAAGUUAUAAAUUCUGACUUUUGUUAAAAUUUCAAGUUUAUUUCUCUCAUCCAAACAUAUUACGAGCGGCAAGUGCUUAUGUUUUCACUUUGUAAAUCUAUCCUCACGUGUAGAGUGAGGGACUAAAACUUCAAUUUUAAAAAGAAGAAGACUCAACUUAAAAGAAAAAUAUGGUCCCAAACGGGAGGGAAGGACUUUUUUUAAGAGAAUUUUAACGAAACAUUUUCAGUACUGUUCACUUUUAACGAAAAUAACAUCUUUACUUUAAAAAGUCACUCCUGAUACUAUUCACUUACAACACUUUUUUGUCAUUUUGAUUAAAAUUCAAAGUUUUCAAGCUCUUUUCAUUAGUUUUUCUCUUUUUUAAAGGGUUGUGUGUUUCUUGUGAUCACGUGGGUUGUACACGUGAUUUGGUAACGCAACUGCAAAAUGUGGGAUUUAAUGAGCUGAAAAGAUACAGCCUAAUGAUAUUUCUCUUUACUUGUAAUUAAGAAGUUUUAAGUUUGAAUAUCGUGAAUUGCGAGAUCACAAUUAAUUUAGUCUCCCAUAUAUUGUAUUAACAUUUUUGCUGCAACUUUUUAGUUCAUUUGGAAGUGGAGCUUCAAGAUCUGUAUUUUCAUCACGAGUUUCAGAUUCCACAUUAGCACAUUGGGCCUCCUUAGUCCAGAAUGCUUUGGAAACAAUUGGGCUACCAUAUUUUUUACUUUGGGCUUUAUCAUAAUACCUGUUUUCUUUUGGGCUCAAAUAUGAAGAAGUCGGGCAACAAAUGACCAAAUAAUAAAGCCAUGUUAAAGAUGUGAUGUACCAACCACUCAGGAUUACGAUUCAAUAGUAUUUCUCUUC
rnacentral:lncRNA from 1 species